GCGUAGCGGCGAGGAGACUGAAUUUGGGAAACGAGGUCCGCGGAGAAUCGCAAAUAAUUACAUUAUAAACUGAAAGUGCAUCGCGAACGCUUCCAAAAACCUGAAGAGAGAGAAAAGUGGCGUACUUUAUUUCGGGUUACGCUGAGUUAGGCGGCCUUUGUGAUUAAAAUGACCGGUAAUUUGCGUGGAAAGCGGCGGUUCUUGGCUCCUGGCAAAUCUACGAGCAAGUUGUUCCUGGGCGCCUUCUUGCUUCUUUGGGUACUAUGGAUAAUGUUCGGUUACCGGAGCAACCUGGUGAGGCGGGGUGAACGUGAAUACGGUGAAAUUGUUCAUUCCCACGCAAGGACAAUUCCGCCAAAAAUUGGUCCGGCGCGGGAAGUGACCACCCUGGUAUCUGUGAAAACAACUACUGGUACGUCUGUGUCAAAGAAACGCACAAGAUCAUCCAAGUUUCGUGAUAUUUGUUGGAAGCCGCAAUGCAUAGCUAUUGCGGAUAUAAUCAGCGAUGGCUUCGGAAAGUCCCGACCCUGCGAUAAUUUUUUUGACUUCGUCUGCGGACAGCGAGCAGAAAACAACGAAGUGCCACCUUCGAGCAUCAAAGACUCUGCAGCCGAAUCCCUCCUACGAAUUCUGGAGAACCCUAAGGCGAAAGGAAAAAGCAACUCCACUGCUGUGGGGAAAUUUACUGCCGCCUACAUGUCGUGCAUAAAUAAAGGCAACAAAAGCCUGCAGCUCCAAGUGUCAAUACAAAAAAUAUUCCACGAGCUGGGUUUUGACGACUGGUCCUCAUCAAGCAAACAGCCCACUAACGAAAAUAACGACACCAUCGGCAAUAUUUGGGGCAAAAUUGGCUUGCACCCUUUCUUCGACUACAACGUUGAAGUGGAACCCAAGAAGCCAAGCAGCAAACGGACCAUCACAAUUACGAAGAGGACCGAUUUCUUUCUUCUCCAUAGCGCUCCAAGCCUAAUGAAGUCGCAUUCGCCAUCGCAAAAGUCCAAUGGCUCUUCCGGAUCGCUUGCGAGGCCUGAAAAUAUCGCCGCAGAGCAGUACAGUCUCUGUAAAAAACAAGUUGCUGAAAUUAUUAGACUAACCAACGCCAACGUAACGCAGAAAGAAAGCAUGGAAACGGCGGAUGAAAUUCUGACUUUUGAAGGGGCGCUUGCUAAGCUCUCUAAGGACGCAACUGUGAAAAGAAUUGAAAUAAACAUGACCUCAGAGAACGGGACAGCUUCCUCAGCUAACUUUUCAUUGCGAACAAUGCUUGAAAAGGAACUACGCGACAUCAACGCAACCUUAAAGGACAAUAUUCGUGUUAUAUUGGAAUAUCCUGCCUACUAUGCAGGCUUGAUAAAAUUUGUAAGCACUGUUAACAGCACGAAGGCCAUCAAGAAUUACAUUGCAUGGACUUACAUAAGAGCAUUGGCUGGGUUUGAAGGAACUCCCCUGCACGACAUCUAUUUGACCUCUAGUUUCAACACGACAAACCUGACACGUUCAUCUGCGAAGAAUGACGUCAGAACACCUUGCCUUAUGCAGCUGCUGAAGCCAGAAACGAUGCUCAAUGCAGGAGCGAGCCUGUAUAUUAAGUAUAAUUUCGACAAAUAUGACCGGAACGACGUGCAGAAGAUGAUGCAAUUUAUCAAAGAAUCAUUCAAAAUGAUCAUCCUAAAAAACAAGUGGAUGACAGAGUGGACAAAGAACAAAGCCGCCGAGCGACUGGCGAAAAUGGAAACAGUGAUUGGCUAUCCUGACUGGAUGCUGGACGACACUGUUGUGGACGAGCUUUAUAGAUUUAUUCCCCUCUUGAAUGAAAAUACUUCGUUUGCUGAGCACAUAUUUUGGAUACAAGCUAACACUCGGCACCAAGAGAUUCUAAAGUUGAGCGAAGACUAUAAGCAAAAAGAGUUUUCGGCUGUCUCCCUGUUUUCUCAUCCGUACUACAUCGAACGAAGCGACACGCUUGUUCUGCCGGCGGCGGCGAUCGCGCCACGCUACAGGAGACCGCCGGUGCCAAGGGCAUUGAACUUUGGCACUGUUGGAGCACUGGCCUCGAUGCUGAUGGCUAAUGCAAUUGAUCGGUUUGACAGUACCAAUCUGGAUUGACGACGGUAAAGGACUCGGCGGAAAAGCAGUCACGAAAGAAUUUUGGGACGAGGAGUCAAAGGAAAUUUUCUGUAAUUAUUCCAGUUGCCUAAAGAAUAAACAAUGCACGGACGUUAAGAAUCAGUUCAAAAGCUACGGCGAGGCACACUUCACGGACUACAUUGGCCUGCGGGCUUCCUAUAUGGCAUUGAAGAAUAGUGUUAACAAUUACACUAGGCCAUACCUCCUUCGUGGGGCAGACUUCAACACAGAAGACAAGAUAUUUUUUCUGGCUUUCGGCAAU
rnacentral:misc_RNA from 1 species